CAGCGCGUAGCUCAAGUAAGCAGAGCACCCGGCUCGGGCCCGGGAUGGUGCGGGUGCGAACCCCGCCGUGCUGGCCA
rnacentral:tRNA from 1 species